GACUUAGCUUGGAUAUUCAUUGUCAGAAGCUUAUUGCAGCACUUGUGAAAAUAUCUAGAUUGACAGCUCUGUGCAAUGAAUUCUCCUGUUAAUUGAUUUACAGAAAAUGUGCAACAGCUGAUGUAAGGUUUCUGCACACAUGAAUCCUACAGAGCUACCUGCAGGGAGCAGGAGGAAGAACCUAGUGUCUCUGCCUGCAGCACUGCUCGGAUUAAAGGCCCACUGUUGAGUUAUGCAACCACCAUCACCUCUACCAUGUCAAAAU
rnacentral:lncRNA from 1 species